rnacentral:rRNA from 1 species
AACGAACGCUGGCGGCAGGCUUAACACAUGCAAGUCGAGCGGACCCUUCGGGGUCAGCGGCGGACGGGUGAGUAACGCGUGGGAACGUGCCCUUUCCUCCGGAAUAGCCCUGGGAAACCGGGAGUAAUGUCGGAUACGCCGAGCCAUAGAGAUAUGGUUUGGGAAAGAUUUAUCGGGGAAGGAUCGGCCCGCGUUGGAUUAGGUAGUUGGUGGGGUAACGGCCUACCAAGCCGACGAUCCAUAGCUGGUUUGAGAGGAUGAUCAGCCACACUGGGACUGAGACACGGCCCAGACUCCUACGGGUGGCAG